rnacentral:rRNA from 1 species
GUGGGGAAUAUUGCACAAUGGGCGCAAGCCUGAUGCAGCAACGCCGCGUGAGGGACGACGGCCUUCGGGUUGUAAACCUCUUUUAGCAGGGAAGAAGCGAAAGUGACGGUACCUGCAGAAAAAGCACCGGCUAACUACGUGCCAGCAGCCGCGGUAAUACGUAGGGUGCAAGCGUUGUCCGGAAUUAUUGGGCGUAAAGAGCUCGUAGGCGGUUUGUCGCGUCUGCUGUGAAAACCCGAGGCUCAACCUCGGGCCUGCAGUGGGUACGGGCAGACUAGAGUGGGGUAGGGGAGAUUGGAAUUCCUGGUGUAGCGGUGGAAUGCGCAGAUAUCAGGAGGAACACCGAUGGCGAAGGCAGAUCUCUGGGCCGUAACUGACGCUGAGGAGCGAAAGCGUGGGGAGCGAACAGGAUUAGAUACCCCUGUAGUCC